UUAAUUCUGCAAUCGUAAAAUGAGCAGUCUGGUUAAAUGAUCUGUUAACUUCAAAUCCAAAACCCUGUGUCCCAAGGGCCCUCCCAACUCUGACAUCCUGGGUUCUAAGGGCUCUCCCAGCUCUGAGUUCCUGGGUUCAAAGGGCCCUCCCAGCUCUGACUUCCUUUGUUCUAAGAGUUCUCCUUGCACUGAUAUUUUGUUUUUUAAAAGUUCUUCUCAGAUAUCAUGUUCUAUGUUCCAAGGGUCAUCUCAAACUUUAUUAACCUGAAAUUGGAGAAAUUUUUUAAGUAAUAGAAAAAGGGAACAAUAAAAAUUUAUUUAAAAAAAAAAUAAAGCCAGAAAUUGAAAUUAGCUUCCCUAUAACUGUCCUCCAUUGCUUCUAGUUCUGUUGUCUUGGGUCAAAGAGCACAAGUUGGCUACCUUUGUCCUUUGAUGGCCCUUUAGGUAGAUCUUUGGACACAUUUGGGCUUGGAAUCAGAUGAUCUGAGAUUGAAUUCCCAGAUCACUCACUUCUUGUGUGACCUACCAUGGACAUCUCUACCUCUUGGGCCUCAGAUUUGCCUGAGGCUCUGAGAGAUUACUGCCUUGCUGCUUAGUCAUUUUGAGUGCUGCCGGUCGUGACCCGAAUUUGGGAUUUUCUUGGCAAAGACACAAAAAUGGCAUUUCCUUCUCCAAGUCAUUUUACAGUUGAGCUGAGGCAAA